GCUCCUCUCUCUCUCGCCGCUCCCAGGGUUGGCUCUCUUCCAUUAUCUCUCUCUGUGGAAGUGAACUAACGAGAUAUUUUAUGUUUGCAUUGGAUUUUGCUUGGACUGUUCGAAGUUUUUACUGCUCUGUUUGUUUCAAUUCUGGUGGAAGUUGUCCAAGCUUUGAGGUUGAAGGCGAUCUCCUCUGUUGAUCGAAUUUGGUUAACCGUUGUUCCCAUCGGAGAUUGACAGUGGAGUUCCAUGACGAAAUCCCAUGAUUGCUGCUCGCCUCUGGGGUCCUCAAAGACCUCUCCAGGUUCGUUCAUGGAGUUCCAUGACGAAAUCCGACCCACCCGGCAAAACCCGUGUCACACUUCACUUCACUUCAUCUCUCUCACUCGCUCUCUCCUCUCUCUCAACCAAUCGCCGUUUCCGGUUACUUCGUGACUGUGAAUCGCCGAUCCCGAUCCCGAUCUGCUCUCCCCCGCUCUCUCUCUCACUCCUGUUUUGCAUUCCUUUGUCUCUGACGCACGGCCAUCGAAAUACAGAGGGGAUACAAGUGGUUUGGACAAUGAAAACUCAUGCCUUAGUUCUCAGCACACACCUGCUGCCACAGAUGCUGUUGCUCCCAAGGAUGUCCCGUUUCUGAUGUACAAUAGUCACCAAAGAAGGCUCGGAGAACCGGUUUGCAUAAACUAUUUUGAAAGCACAAAGGAAGACACUUUUUGACUAUGGUAAAGCAAAUCCUUUGAAGAUGCAGCAGGAAAAGGAAAGAUUUAAAAGUAUACAACGUGAAGAGGUUGUUGCCUUGCCCAACACAUGAAAACUGAGCUUGUUUAAUUCUUGUAGUUUCUCAUCAUGGGUACAAGUGAAGCCUUAGCAUUAAAGGUCUUGGUCAAAGUCUUCUCGGAACGACAAGAAGCAACUCAUUGUAUGCGAUCAUGUGGGUUGUCGCACAAUUCUACGCCUAGUGAGUCUGAUGGUAGAAAGAAGUUGAAUGUGAAGUAUUUCAAAGAAAAAUCCUCUGUGCCGAGGCCUCACAAGUGUGGGGCUCCAGACUUGAUGAAAUAUCAAGUAGUGUAAGUGCAAAGAAUUGAUCGUAAUUUGGGUUUAGAGUGUUCCACCACUUUAAAACAACAGAGGACUCAUCCAACUGGUUGAGUUUUCAACCAAUCUGUGUCCAGACAAGCAUGCUUGACAGAACACUUGUGACUAUCCCAACCAGUUGGAUGAGUCCUCUGUUGUUUUAAAGUGGUGGAACACUCUAAACCCAAAUUACGAUCAAUUCUUUGCCUUUUCACUACUUGAUAUUUCAUCAAGUCUGGAGCCCCAAGCUUGUGACGUCUCGGCAUAGAGGAUUUUUCUUUGAAAUACUUCAUAUUCAACUUCUUUCUACCAUCAGACUCACUAGGCAUAGAAUUGUGCGACAACCCAUGUGAUCAAUUGGUUACUAAGAAAUGUUUGUAUGUUUUGACAAUUUGAAUACCAUGUGUUUGUAUUGCAGGAUUUGAGUGAGGAAACAUUUUUCUUUCUUUGUCCUGCAUGAAUAUCUAAAUGAUUAUAUAUGUGUUAGUAUGUGUCUUUUUCCCUGAUCAAUUAUAAAAUGAGUAAGAAAAUUG